rnacentral:rRNA from 1 species
UACGUAGGGGGCGAGCGUUGUCCGGAUUUAUUGGGCGUAAAGAGCGUGUAGGCGGCCAGGUAGGUCUGCUGUGAAAACUCGAGGCUCAACCUCGAGACGUCGGCGGAAACCAUCUGGCUAGAGUCCGGAAGAGGAGAGUGGAAUUCCUGGUGUAGCGGUGAAAUGCGCAGAUAUCAGGAAGAACACCCGUGGCGAAGGCGGCUCUCUGGGACGGUACUGACGCUGAGACGCGAAAGCGUGGGGAGGCGGACAGG